UAGAUAGAUGCUCGCUGGCUUGGGCACUUAGCUGUUAACUAAGAGAUUGCAGGAUCGAGGCCUGCCUAUCUAG
ensembl:Mt_tRNA